GAACGCUGGCGGCAGGCUUAACACAUGCAAGUCGAGCGGUAACAUUUCUAGCUUGCUAGAAGAUGACGAGCGGCGGACGGGUGAGUAAUACUUAGGAAUCUACCUAGUAGUGGGGGAUAGCAUGGGGAAACCCAUAUUAAUACCGCAUACGACCUACGGGAGAAAGGGGGCAGUUUACUGCUCUCGCUAUUAGAUGAGCCUAAGUCGGAUUAGCUAGAUGGUGGGGUAAAGGCCUACCAUGGCGACGAUCUGUAGCUGGUCUGAGAGGAUGAUCAGCCACACCGGAACUGAGACACGGUCCGGACUCCUACGGGAGGCAGCAGUGGGGAAUAUUGGACAAUGGGGGCAACCCUGAUCCAGCCAUGCCGCGUGUGUGAAGAAGGCCUUUUGGUUGUAAAGCACUUUAAGCAGUGAAGAAGACUCUAUGGUUAAUACCCAUAGACGAUGACAUUAGCUGCAGAAUAAGCACCGGCUAACUCUGUGCCAGCAGCCGCGGUAAUACAGAGGGUGCAAGCGUUAAUCGGAAUUACUGGGCGUAAAGGGAGCGUAGGUGGCUCGAUAAGUCAGAUGUGAAAUCCCCGGGCUCAACCUGGGAACUGCAUCUGAUACUGUUGAGCUAGAGUAUGUGAGAGGAAGGUAGAAUUCCAGGUGUAGCGGUGAAAUGCGUAGAGAUCUGGAGGAAUACCGAUGGCGAAGGCAGCCUUCUGGCAUAAUACUGACACUGAGGCUCGAAAGCGUGGGUAGCAAACAGGAUUAGAUACCCUGGUAGUCCACGCCGUAAACGAUGUCUACUAGUCGUUGGGUCCCUUGAGGACUUAGUGACGCAGCUAACGCAAUAAGUAGACC
rnacentral:rRNA from 1 species